UUGGUCAAAAUUCAAGAAUUUGGUCAAAAUAAAAAGAUGAUGGUAUGAUUCCAAAUCAUAAUGGUAGGAUGAAUUAGGAUACCCUCAAAGCUCGUACGAUCAUUCCAAAUCAUCAACACACGAGAAAUCAAAGCAAACGGCGAUUGAUUUGGGCUGCUCCGCUCAAGAAAUCAACUCGCCGCCUCACCAUUUCCGUCCUUGUUUCACUGCUCGCCGACUUGCCACUGCCCUACCGGUCACACCAUUGUCAUUGCCACAGAUUCGCGAUCUGAUUCUUCGUCAACGCCGUCUGACACCAGUCACUCAACUCUAUUAUAUCUUGAGAAGUAACAUCUUGAACCUUUCUACUUUAGCACUAAAACUCAGAAUAAACCCUAGUUUCAGAAUAAUAUCAUUGAAUUGUUUGCUUGUUAUUUCUGAUUUCUGAACAAUAACUUCUGAGAUGAAUGUCUUUCCCUGUUCUAUUACAAUAGUUUCUGAUUUUACUUAGUUUCUUUGUAGUUUCGACUUCAUAUAAGCACAUACCCUAAUUAGAAACAUAAAUUCUAUGUGCAAAUAAUGAUACCGUUGGAAAUGAAUGCAACCCUUGAAUUCUUCAUCGGAAAUGAAAUUGUAAGCCUUAAGAAUAUUGGGGAUGUUUCUAUUCCCUAAUUGUGAAUGAGUAGCAAUGAUUACAAUGUGAGUUAAUAGUGGUCUUUAGGCUAUAUUUUUUAUAAUACAGCUUUAGGGGUUUGUUUUAGAACACUUUGAAAAACAAAAUAUGUGUUCCAAUGGUAUCUAGCACUACCUGUGUUAAUAGCUUGUAGAUCAUUUACCAAAGAAGCUUUUAACUAAAUGGUUUCAAGCAUUCUGUCAUUUUUACUAUGAAAACAUAAUAAUUGCAUGUUCUCAUUUGUCUAUAAAACUCCAUCUGGUUUGCAGAACAUUUCAUUUGUUACCAUUUGUCUUAUUUACUACACACUGUAAUUUUGUCCUUCAGAUCCUACCUGUAACUGCUUAUUUAUCUAAUCCUGCCCACCAUAUGCUUUCUUAUCACUUCCAUAAUAAGUACUAGUUGCAGAAUACCCGUUUUGGUUGACCUGGUCCCGUUCUUGAGAAUUAUAUGCCUCCAAAGAGUACCAUUAUUGAGUGUUCAUGUCAUAAUACCAACCAGGGUUGUGGGGAUCAAAAACCAUAUUUGAUGGAUACCCAUUGUUUUCUUGUGAAGCCUGAUCCCAUGAUAAACUCUCAUUAGUAUUCUGGAAUUCUGGAUCAUGAUUCACAGUUUGAAUCUCUUUUUCAUCUUUAGAUGAAGAAUCCCUGCUCAAGUUAAUAGAAUUAGCUUCAGAUAAAACUUCUACUUUGUUAUUUUGUUAUAAAUUUCAUAUUCUCUGUUGACAUCUAGGAAUUUCUCCUUAUGGGAGAGUAGGUUCUCAAGCCUUUAGCAAAUCAUUAGGUUUAUGCUUUGAUGUUAUUGUUAUUAGAUUUAAGGGGUAAAAUCAGUUGUUUGUAAUACUUCAUAAUUUUGUAGGUUGGUAACAAAUUAUUCAAUGGAUAAAUCAUGGAUUUCCUCGAAUGGAUUAACAAAUGCAUAUGACGAAGGUGUGGAGGAUUUUUUAACCUUUACACAAAAUAAUAAUGUAAAAUCAGAUGUAAUUUCGUGUCCUUGCAUAAAUUGUAUGAAUUUGUGCCAUCACUCAAUUCCAGCUGUGCGUUAUCAUUUGUUUUCAAAUGGAUUUGAUGAAGGAUAUAAAGUUUGGACUUUCCAUGGGGAAAAUCCCGAAAGAGGCCCUAAUAAAUUUGUUCUUCCCGACUUUGAUCAUACAAAAGAUAUGCUAGAUGAUGCCUUCUUCACAGAUGUAGAAGAAGAACCCGAUUCAUUGAAAACACUUCUUGAAGAAUGGAUAAAAUGGUCAGGUAACUCGUUGCUAAUGACAUUAAACCCGGGCAAUUUUGAGAUCCAUCAACGGCUUGGAUCGGCCUUAUGGAAAAUGGAGGAUUGUGAUUGGAAGUGAGAUCAAUGGUCAUGGAACCACACUAUUGUACCAUAGUAGAAAUGGUACUUGUAUGAAGAAAUCAAGAAUGGAGGAAAACAGAUCAUGGAAUCUGUUUUGUGAGCCCGAGUGCAAUCUCUAAAGAUGGGCGUACGGACAACUUCAAGAAAAGUGAUGAAGCAAGUGAAGUCAUAGCAUGUCGGCUGUCCCAAGUGCAAGAAAUAGCAAUGUACUUCAUUGUUUCUUAUAUUUAAGCUUCCUUUACCAUUAAUAACUAGAAUGGUUAUUAGGUGCUAACAAUACUAGACAUGCAAACAACAACAUGCUAUUACCUUAAUUCGCUAAGGUGCCUUGUUGUUGAUCCAGACUUAAAGCAGAUGAUUGAAGCAUAAAGCAUUUUCUUUGCACGCAAGACAAAGUGGAUCAAAGAAAAAGGUUAAAGCCAACUGGAUAAAUGUUAUGAGUGUCCCUUUCAUCCUGGUUACAUGUUCUUAAGUUCAUGAAAGAGGUUGUUGACGAAGGACUUGAAGUGUUGAAUAACAAUUUUUGGGGGAAGAAUGAAUAUACAGACGUCGAGCUUGAUAGGGUGCGUGAAGAAUGGGCUACUUAUGUCAUAAAUUUUCUUUCCUAGUGAUAUGAAUUUGACAGUUACUUUUUGAUGAAUUUGGACCGUAUUUUUGAAUUUGACACUAUAAUUCGUGUAAGCCUUUUAAUAUAUGUAUGAUGUUUUAUUUUAUGUUAUUAGACAUUAAAUAUGUAAUUUAGUUUGGUUAA